rnacentral:RNase_P_RNA from 1 species
GGAGUCGGCCAGACAGUCGCUGGUCCCGAUCUUCGGGGCCGGAGGAAAGUCCGGGCUUCACAGGGCAGGGUGCCAGGUAAUGCCUGGGGGGCGCGAGCCUACGGAAAGUGCCACAGAAAACAGACCGCCUGCGGCUGAUCCAGUCGCCGGUAAGGGUGAAAAGGUGCGGUAAGAGCGCACCGCGUCGCGGGUAACCGUCGGCGGCACGGUAAACCCCACCCGAAGCAAGGCCGAAUAGGGAUGCCAUAGCGUGGCCCGCGCUGCAUCCGGGUAGGCUGCUCGAGGCGGCUGGUGACAGCCGUCCCAGACGAAUGACUGUCCACGACAGAACCCGGCUUAUCGGCCGACUCCUUUU